rnacentral:rRNA from 1 species
UGAGUAACACGUGGGGAACCUGCCCCUAAGGUCUGGGAUACCAUUUGGAAACAGGUGCUAAUACCGGAUAAUAAAGCAGAUCGCAUGAAUCAGCUUUUGAAAGGCGGCGUAAGCUGUCGCUAAGGGAUGGCCCCGCGGUGCAUUAGCUAGUUGGUAAGGUAACGGCUUACCAAGGCGACGAUGCAUAGCCGAGUUGAGAGACUGAUCGGCCACAUUGGGACUGAGACACGGCCCAAACUCCUACGGGAGGCAGCAGUAGGGAAUCUUCCACAAUGGACGCAAGUCUGAUGGAGCAACGCCGCGUGAGUGAAGAAGGUUUUCGGAUCGUAAAGCUCUGUUGUUGGUGAAGAAGGAUAGAGGUAGUAACUGGCCUUUAUUUGACGGUAAUCAACCAGAAAGUCACGGCUAACUACGUGCCAGCAGCCGCGGUAAUACGUAGGUGGCAAGCGUUGUCCGGAUUUAUUGGGCGUAAAGCGAGCGCAGGCGGGAAAAAUAAGUCUAAUGUGAAAAGCCCUCGGCUUAACCGAGGAACUGCAUCGGAAAACUGUUUUUCUUGAGUGCAGAAGAGGAGAGUGGAACUCCAUGUGU